rnacentral:rRNA from 2 species
GUCGAGCGCACAGGUUUACCUGUGAGCGGCAGACGGGUGAGUAACGCGUGGGAAUCUACCUUAAGCUGCGGAAUAACAGAGAGAAAUUUCUGCUAAUGCCGCAUGUGCCCGGAAGGGGAAAGAUUUAUCGGCUUAAGAUGAGCCCGCGUUGGAUUAGCUGGUUGGUGGGGUAAAGGCCUACCAAGGCGACGAUCCAUAGCUGGUCUGAGAGGAUGAUCAGCCACACUGGGACUGAGACACGGCCCAGACUCCUACGGGAGGCAGCAGUGGGGAAUAUUGGACAAUGGGCGCAAGCCUGAUCCAGCCAUGCCGCGUGAGUGAUGAAGGCCUUAGGGUUGUAAAGCUCUUUCACCGGGGAAGAUAAUGACGGUACCCGGAGAAGAAGCCCCGGCUAACUUCGUGCCAGCAGCCGCGGUAAUACGAAGGGGGCUAGCGUUGUUCGGAAUUACUGGGCGUAAAGAGCGCGUAGGCGGAAAAGUAAGUCAGGGGUGAAAUCCCGGGGCUCAACCCCGGAAUUGCCUUUGAUACUGUUUUUCUUGAGUGCAGAAGAGGUAAGUGGAAUUCCGAGUGUAGAGGUGAAAUUCGUAGAUAUUCGGAAGAACACCGGUGGCGAAGGCGGCUUACUGGUCUGCAACUGACGCUGAGGCGCGAAAGCGUGGGGAGCAAACAGGAUCAGAUACCCUGGUAGUCCACGCUGUAAACGAUGGAAGCCAGCUAUUGGGCAGUUUACUGCUCGGCAGCGCAGCUAACGCAUUAAGCUUCCCGCCU